ACUUUCAAUGGACAAAAGUCGUCCAAUG
rnacentral:tRNA from 1 species